rnacentral:misc_RNA from 1 species
GAUGAAGAACGCAGCGAAAUGCGAUAAGUAAUGUGAAUUGCAGAAUUCAGUGAAUCAUCGAAUCUUUGAACGCACAUUGCGCCCGCCAGUAUUCUGGCGGGCAUGCCUGUUCGAGCGCCAUUACAACCCUCAGGCCCCCGGGCCUGGCGUUGGGGAUCGGCGGAGCCCCCCGUGGGCACACGCCGUCCCCCAAAUACAGUGGCGGUCCCGCCGCAGCUUCCAUCGCGUAGUAGCUAACACCUCGCGACUGGAGAGCGGCGCGGCCACGCCGUAAAACACCCAACUCUUCUGAAGUUGACCUCGAAUCAGGUAGGAAUACCCGCUGAACUUAAGCAUAUCAAUAAGCGGAGGA